ACAGUUCAUGAUAUCGCGGCUCUUGUGCAGUCGCAUUCCCCCAUGUUUGUGUUUUUGUGUGAAACAAGACAAAAAGCAAGUAGAAUGAAGAGGAUUAGAGGUCGUCUGGGACUUCAAGGAUUUGAAGGAGUUGAUAGUAAUGGGCUCAGCGGAGGUCUAGCCUUGUAUUGGCAUGAGUCAUACCAGGUUUCAGUCUUGGGGACUGAUGAUCACUUCAUUGACAUCUCGGUUACACCCCCUGGAGGUGAUGAAUGGAGAUUAACUGCUGUUUAUUGUGAGCCUCGAGUAGAGAACAUGCACCUGAUGUGGUCUAAGCUACAAACGUUGAAGCAAGUUUCGGACCUGUCGUGGCUAGUUGUUGGUGAUUUUAAUGAGGCGUUGUGGAGUUUUGGACAUAUGUCUCUGAACCCCCGGCCUGAAUCUCAGAUGGCGGCCUUUUGA
rnacentral:rRNA from 1 species